rnacentral:rRNA from 1 species
AUUGAACGCUGGCGGCAUGCCUUACACAUGCAAGUCGAACGGCAGCACGGGAGCUUGCUCCUGGUGGCGAGUGGCGAACGGGUGAGUAAAGUAUCGGAACGUGCCCAGUCGUGGGGGAUAACGUAGCGAAAGUUACGCUAAUACCGCAUACGAUCUAUGGAUGAAAGCGGGGGAUCGCAAGACCUCGCGCGAUUGGAGCGGCCGAUAUCAGAUUAGGUAGUUGGUGGGGUAAAGGCUCACCAAGCCGACGAUCUGUAGCUGGUCUGAGAGGACGACCAGCCACACUGGGACUGAGACACGGCCCAGACUCCUACGGGAGGCAGCAGUGGGGAAUUUUGGACAAUGGGCGAAAGCCUGAUCCAGCCAUGCCGCGUGCAGGAUGAAGGCCUUCGGGUUGUAAACUGCUUUUGUACGGAACGAAAAGGUUUGGCCUAAUAAGCUGAGCUCAUGACGGUACCGUAAGAAUAAGCACCGGCUAACUACGUGCCAGCCGCCGCGGUAA